rnacentral:ncRNA from 2 species
GGAUUAGCGAUGUAACAAGGUGCUCUUGCCGGAUCAGGCAAGGGAUAACAGGGAAUCGGGUGCAAGUCCCGAGCGGUCCCGCCACUGUAAGGAAGAGCUGAACUUCAAGAUGUCACUUGGGGAGAACCCCGGGGAAGACGAAGGAUAAAGCGCCCGUAUUCCAAGCCAGGAGACCUACCUUGAUUACGCACACCAC